rnacentral:rRNA from 1 species
AUUGAACGCUGGCGGCAGGCCUAACACAUGCCAGUCGAGCGAGCGGCGGACGGGUGAGUAAUGUCUGGGAACCUGCCUGAUGGAGGGGGAUAACUACUGGAAACGGUAGCUAAUACCGCAUACCAUCAGAUGUGCCCAGAUGGGGUUAGCUCGUAGGGGGGGUAACGGCUCACCUAGGCAACGAUCCCUAGCACGUCUGAGAGGAUGACCAGCCACACUGGAACUGAGACACGGUCCAGACUCCUACGGGAGGCAGCAGUGGGGAAUAUUGCACAAUGGGCGCAAGCCUGAUGCAGCCACGCCGCGUGUGUGAAGAAGGCCUUCGGGUUGUAAAGCACUUUCAGCAGGGAGGCGUGACCCGCAGAAGAAGCACCGGCUAACUCCGUGCCAGCAGCCGCGGUAAUAC